rnacentral:rRNA from 1 species
GACGGACGCUGGCGGCGUGCUUAACACAUGCAAGUCGAACGAUGAAGCCUAGCUUGCUAGGUGGAUUAGUGGCGAACGGGUGAGUAAUACGUGAGUAACCUACCUUUAACUCUGGGAUAAGCCUGGGAAACUGGGUCUAAUACCGGAUACGACCAAUCUCCGCAUGGGGUGUUGGUGGAAAGCGUUAUGUAGUGGUUAUAGAUGGGCUCACGGCCUAUCAGCUUGUUGGUGAGGUAACGGCUCACCAAGGCGACGACGGGUAGCCGGCCUGAGAGGGUGACCGGCCACACUGGGACUGAGACACGGCCCAGACUCCUACGGGAGGCAGCAGUGGGGAAUAUUGCACAAUGGGCGCAAGCCUGAUGCAGCGACGCCGCGUGAGGGAUGACGGCCUUCGGGUUGUAAACCUCUGUUAGCAGGGAAGAAGAGAGAUUGACGGUACCUGCAGAGAAAGCGCCGGCUAACUACGUGCCAGCAGCCGCGGUAAUACGUAGGGCGCGAGCGUUGUCCGGAAUUAUUGGGCGUAAAGAGCUUGUAGGCGGUUUGUCGCGUCUGCUGUGAAGGCCGGGGCUUAACCCCGUGUAUUGCAGUGGGUACGGGCAGACUAGAGUGCAGUAGGGGAGACUGGAAUUCCUGGUGUAGCGGUGGAAUGCGCAGAUAUCAGGAGGAACACCGAUGGCGAAGGCAGGUCUCUGGGCUGUAACUGACGCUGAGAAGCGAAAGCAUGGGGAGCGAACAGGAUUAGAUACCCUGGUAGUCCAUGCCGCAAACGUUGGGCACUAGGUGUGGGGGACAUUCCACGUUUUCCGCGCCGUAGCUAACGCAUUAAGUGCCCCGCCUGGGGAGUACGGCCGCAAGGCUAAAACUCAAAGAAAUUGACGGGGGCCCGCACAAGCGGCGGAGCAUGCGGAUUAAUUCGAUGCAACGCGAAGAACCUUACCAAGGCUUGACAUAUACUGGACCGCAUCAGAGAUGGUGUUUCCCUUCGGGGCUGGUAUACAGGUGGUGCAUGGUUGUCGUCAGCUCGUGUCGUGAGAUGUUGGGUUAAGUCCCGCAACGAGCGCAACCCUCGUUCUAUGUUGCCGGCACGUUAUGGUGGGGACUCAUAGGAGACUGCCGGGGUCAACUCGGAGGAAGGUGGGGAUGACGUCAAAUCAUCAUGCCCCUUAUGUCUUGGGCUUCACGCAUGCUACAAUGGCCGGUACAGAGGGUUGCGAUCCCGCAAGGGCUAGCUAAUCUUUCAAAGCCAUUCUCAGUUCGGAUUGCACUCUGCAACUCGAGUGCAUGAAGUCGGAAUCGCUAGUAAUCGCGAAUCAGAAUGUCGCGGUGAAUCCGUUCCCGGGCCU